rnacentral:lncRNA from 1 species
GGGGGGGAUGCCCUUCGCGGACUUCGCACUCUGACCCACCCACGGGUGCGCACACCCUCUUCCGGACCGGACCUUCGCUCACGCGAACACGCUUCCCGUCUCGGAACGGCCAUAGGAAUUUGGGGUUAAGAGAUUAAAGAGAAUAAGCGACCAGAACUGGCGGAGGAUCAGCCCGAGGAGCGGGGCACGGUGGGGCGCGUUGAGGCACGGCAUUUCUCGUCGCCGGAAGGGAGAGCGCCGGGUCCGGGAGACGCUGGACGGCCAGGGCGAAAGGCGGCGAGUUGGGAGUCUGAGGAACGGAGAGGAGAGGGGCAGGAGCAGAAUCUGUGAGCCACGGGGCGAGAACAGGGGUCAUCCAAGAGAACGGAGUUCGUGGCGGCGGCUGAGGAUUCGGCAGCCUGACAGGACGGCGCUGUGAGGGAGGCAGGGAAACCUUCGCGACGAGGAGCCGGGGCAGGGGAGGGGGCUGAAGACUUUCUUCGAGCGGGGGCAAAACACGGCCUGUUAACCUCCACGGGGUCACCCCGGCCGACCUGUUGUCCGACGGCCGGGCCUGCACGGAAGCGAGCGCUGCCCUCCGCCCGUCCCGCCCUCGGCUGGGCGGCGAUGAGUCGACGUCCGUUCACAGCCCAGUGGGAACAACCGGUGUCUGGCCAAGCCGGUCGGAGCUGAUGGCGUUUCGGGGAGCAUUUUAGAGAUGUCCAUCAAUCAAUCAGUCAAUCGCAUUGUUUAAGAGCUUACUGUGUGCAGAGCCAAAAAUAAUAAUAAUGAUAACUGUGGUAUUUAUUAAGUACUAAGCGCCUGGAUACGAGCAGAUUGGGUGAGAGACGGUCCCUCUCCCACAUGGGGCUCACGUCUCAAUCCCCACUUUACCGCUGAGGGAACUGAGGCCCAGGGAAGCGAAGCGACUUGUCCAAGGUCACACGGCAGACAGGUGGCGGAGCCAGGAUUGGAACCCAGGUCCUUCUGAUUCCCAGGCCCGUACUCUAUCCUCGAGAGAAUAUAACACUAUAACAGAGUUGGCAGACACCUUCCCUGUCCACAACGAGUUUACAGUCUAGAGAGACAGACGUUAAUAUAAAUGAAUAAAUUCCGGACGUGGACGUAAGUGCUGUGGGGCUGAGGGAGGGGUGAAUAAAAGGAGCAAAUCCAGGUGCCGGGGCGACACAGAAGGGAGAAGGAGAUGAGGAAGUGAGGAUCUAGUCAGGGAAGGCCUAAUGGAGGAGAUGUCAGUGAGGCUUUGAAGGGACGUCUGUUGUCCUCGUCAAAAUAAUAAUAACUACGUAUCUGUUAAGUGCUUACUAUGUGCUAGACAAUGUACUAAGCGCCGAGGCACUGUAUCAUGUCGGGGAGGCCAGGGAAGUCACUUAUCAGUCGAUCAAGAGGGAGGGAGGGGGCCAUUUGAAAAGAUCCAAAUCUUUUUCAGAGAAGCUUCAACUCCAGAUGAGCAACCCCUCGCCUCUUGGCUGAACAAAGAUUUGUUAUAGGCCCUAAGUCGAUGAGCUGAUGUGAGUCAGAGGAAUUCAGCGCAUUUCAGAGGACAGAUCAGGUCAGCCCGCUUUCUUUUGGGAAGUCAGUUUUGAGUGGGGAAAAGGA